rnacentral:lncRNA from 1 species
GUGGAAGGCAGAAAGGUAAGCACUCUGAGCAGGAUAGAGCAAAAUAGUAAAUCCACUCUUGAGAUAGCCACACUCAUAGCACUGUGACAAUAUCUGCAAGUCGUGUGUAGCUGCUGACUCUGGGUUGAAGAAUUCUCUAGCAGAGAGGAGGAGGAAGCCGAGGAAGCCAUAAGAAAGUUAACUGACUCCUCACCAGACCCCAGAGGAGAUUACAUCAUCAAGUCCUGAGGUGCAGAGGUCCUUCUGGGUUGAGCUGUGCAGAGCUCCAGCAACGCAGCUUUGAGGAUUUGUCACCCAAGCAGAGGUGGGAUUCCCAGCGAUGCACCUACCCCAGCCACCCAUAUCUUAGUAAAUAAUGUCCAUAAAUUCAUCACUCACCAAACUGAACUCAAGUAAAAUGGUUGCUUUAGUCUGUUAGUUGCCCUAUCUAUGUGGUCUGAGUAGAAAGAGACUCCCUGGGGAAAGCUUGGCUACAAUGUAACGAAUACAAGUGCAGGGGCCUC